rnacentral:rRNA from 1 species
UACAGAGGUAGCAAGCGUUGUCCGGAUUCACUGGGCGUAAAGGGCGUGUAGGUGGCUAUACAAGUCAGGUGUGAAAGCGUUCCGCUUAACGGAACAAUUGCACUUGAUACUAUAUGGCUUGAGUGCAGGAAGGGAGCAUGGAAUUUCCGGUGUAGCGGUGAAAUGCGUAGAUAUCGGAAAGAACACCAGUGGCGAAGGCGAUGCUCUGGCCUGCAACUGACACUGAGGCGCGAAAGCCAGGGGAG